CGCCUAUGCCAAGCUACUCUCUCUCCAACAACAUACCCCCCAACCCAGCCUGUUUGCAGUCGUCUGCUCCUUCGUCCUACUCGUGUAUGUUACCCGGUAAGUGGAGCGACUACAACCGUGGCUACGACCAUCCCUUGUCACUCAGCAACUACGGCCGACCACCGUGCGCACCAUCAGUCAGUAUGCACCAUCAGAACCACAUGGGUCAAUCUUCGCACAACUCCGUCUCAACGGGUUUGAUUUCGCCCGGUGUAUCAGUGCCCCUCCAAGUGCCAGGGGGCACUCAAGACAUGGGCGCCCACCACAUGGGCGCCAUGACCCACCAGUACUGGCCCCGCAUCCAAUGACGCCAGGGGGACGUGUGGGUGUGACCUGACCACGUCACAGAUUUCACGUCAAACCAACCUGCACAUAAACUGAUGACGUCAUAUGGAUAAAAUCAUAUUUGAUGAUGACGUUCUGCCAUAAGACUCCAUCUAAAAAAACAAUUUUAAAAUACACGUUUAAAAAAACUUUAAAACAGUUAUGUUUAUUAAAAAUACAUAGUAUUUAUAAACGCUUCAACAUAUUCACAAUGGUGAAUACAAAUUGUUCCGCAGUAUUGUUGGAAAACAUAUUCUGAAAAGGGCUUACAUAAUAAAAUUUAAAAAUCUUCUUCAACAAAGAUGAUUUCAGCAUGCCAAGCAAGACUACAUCAAAUUCAGUUUAUUUUUCCAAAUGAAAAAAAAAGGAAACAAAAAGAAAACAAAGAUUUUCUGUGUGAAAAAAAAAAAAACUAGUUUCAGACUACACGUUAAUCUGAUUUUAUAUUAUUCCCAUAUAGACCCAUUUUAUUCAUAAUGAGAAGAGCGUUUGAUAAAACUCAGUCAUGUGUAAACUUACGUAUGUGGAAGUUUCCCAACAUGCGCCUGUAUUGGGUGGAUUGACUGCACAGUUGCAAGGAAUUCAUUUUUGUGUGUGUAUGCAAGCCAAAAGAAAACAACAACAUACGUUUCACGUGUUUUGGAUGCGGUUUCUCGGAGACGCUUAGCUAUAGUUACUACUAGCUGAAGUUGCUACUAGCUGUAGUUAUCUCUAGCUUAAGCUUCAGUUAACAUUAACUUGGCUACACAAGUUCCAGUAAUUGCUAGGUAGAAUGGCUACUUGCUUCUUUUAUCAUUUGCUAAAAGCUCCAAUAUCGCAAGAUGCCGUUGCUACUAGCUUUAUUUAUCACUAGCUAAACUGGUCAGAUAAAGUUAUCGCUCGCUACAAAAGCAGCUAGCUCCAGUUACCACUAACUAGAGUUACAACUAGCCAGGGUUACUUCUAGAAUUCCCACUGGUAUACCACUUGCCUGGAUCAACACAAACAUAUACUGCCAUUCCAUCUAGUUACAACUAGAAUGGUUCAAAUUACUUCUAGUACGUACGCCACGAAAAAUCUUCAGUGCAACAUUUUCUGGUUAUUCUUUCACACUGUUGAAAAAAAAAUAUGAUAUCUAAAAACAAAUUCCAGAAGACAUUUGCAAAAAGUGUUGUAUGCAAUGUUUGCUCAAUUACAGUACUAAAGAAAUUGUGGCUGGUUUUUACACUCCGUGAAUAUUUUUCUAUUCUUGAAAAUCUGAAAACGGAAUUUUUUUUCCGCCCAAGAAAUAACUUUGUGGUUCCAAAUAGAAUACAAGUGGCCAAAACAACGAUGUUGGCCCAACGUUAACUGUUCUGGCCCACACAGCAACUUGCUGGCCCGAAGAAACGUUGUUGGCCUCGAGACAAUGUGCUAGACGAGAACUGAAUAAAACUGUUUCCUUUCCCUCCCUAAUAAACUAAACAAGUACUGGCCAAAAAGACAAUUAGGUUGGCCUGGACACACCGCAGCAUUGAUGAUGGCCCAGAUUGACAGUUGGCCAAUAUACUUGGGCCAAGAUUGAAGCCAGAAUUGUGACAAAACAUUCAGUAACAGCUUCAAAAACGUUUCAAACAUCACCCAUCUCCUCUAUAUUUGGCACGCCAAUGUCUACUCUACAACUAGGGCUGACCAACUUCAGAACAGCGACGCUCUCUUCUGCACGAAGGAAACUUUAAGGAUUUCAACUUUCCCAGAUGUAUAUUUUCAUAUUUUCUUUGUGAACAUUCAAUUUAUUUAUCUUUUAUAAAAUGCUCAUUGCGAAAAAAAAAUUAUCUUGACAUAUUUACUAAAAGAUAUGUUCAAGAUUCUGGUUGUACCAUGUUAUAGAUAAAAUUAUAAUCUUAUCUAGUCUUAUUAACCUUUAAUUUUCAUGUAGUACACUGCAGUGUGUCUUUUAGUUUAGCUUCAAGUGUUAAUACAUUCAAAUCUCAGAAAUAUAACUGCAGUUUUAAUAGUUGUAUGAUGAUAAACUGUUAGCUUUUACAAAAAAAAAUGUAAGUUUAUCAUAUGCGUAACGGAUGUAUAUCUGUUUGUCAUGACAGUUUAUGUGUGCAUGUGUUUAAUAUGUGUGUUCAUGUAUGUGCUGUGUGUUUAGCUUGUGUUCAACAUGUGCUAAAGUGUAAGCACAUUUUGCCUAUAGUCGACAGGCUAUAGACAACCCUGCUCAAUAUUUACUCUCUAAACACACGAAAAAACACGGACGACUUCAAAUCAAACCACACACACAUUUCUCCCGUGUUUAUUUCAGAUCAUGUUCGAAUUCAACACACUAAAAUAAACACACCGUGUGAAAUCGAAAACGAGGCCCCGUGCACUUAAAUACUCAUUUAGUUGUAGAAAUAACCACAAAAAAACCAACAAUUAUUUAAACAUUUUUUGUAUUAUUUUUUGUAAUAUAUUAUAAUUAUGACUUGGUGUAUUUGAUUGGAUGUCUAUAAAAGCCAACAAUGACAGCUAAUUGAUACAAUCUUUAAGAGUGCGUUACUUGUAUUAGGGUUUUUUCUUUAAUGUGGUUUUUUUCUGGUAAUUUAAAAACUGAAUCUUAAUUAGAUUGAGGGAACAAUAUUCUCUUAAAUUUAUUUUUUCUAAUAACUACAUCGUUUAAAAAAAUGUAAUUUCAUUAUUUUUAAAGAUUUUAUUUAAAAAAAAAAUCAAAACUUGUAAUGUACAUAAAGAGGACUUGUGAAUUAUACAAUGUGGAACUGGUUUAAUACUUGCAAUUACCUUUCUUUUUAAAAUGCUACAUUGGAACUAAAACUAUAAUUUAAUUUAAAGAUUAAAAAAAAAUAAAACAGUGUAACUAAGGAUAUAUGCCUAUAUCAUUACUCUUUUUAAAUUAUACAAUGAAAUUAAAUUUAAAAUACACACACAAAUCAUCAUAAUUUAACUUCCUAGGGUACAUGUUUUUUUGUUUCAAAUUACUACUAAUACAAAUGCAAAUGUUUUAUGGGUCAAUGGAAUUAUUAAACACCGUAUUUUGACUUUUUUUUUGGGAUAAUUGAGCGGUAUUUAAAAAAAAAAUUGUAAUAAUUAUAGGUUUUGUGAAUUACUGAGAGGGCUCGUUUUUAUGUACUCUUUAAUAAUGAAUUUCUUAAUAUUUUUUUAACUUGAAAACCUAUUUUAAUUAAAUGAUUUCUUAAAAAAAUAUGUGCAAAUAUGGAAUAUGACAUUUAUUCGCAAAUUUAUGUAAAUAUAUAAAUAAAUAUUGCAGAUAUAAAUAAAUAAUAGCGUGAAACUAAAAGAUCUCAUAAACUGACUGAGACACAGAAUACGUGAGGAUGAGAAUGAUCCAUGAAUGAGUAGCGUUCACUUGAGAAUCGAAAAACGUUUGUACACAGUGUUUACAUUUAUUUUGGUGAGCGAUUUAAUAAUUUAACAAAAUGCAUUGAUUUAUAUUUUUCUUGUAUGUUUUUUUUUGCAAAGUAAAUGUGUGUGUUUGAAAUAGGUGAGGACAUGAUGUUGAUCUUAUAAUACUUGGUUAAAAAUAUUGAGAUGUAGGCCUAUCUUGUAAGUUUUGUUUGGUUAGAUAUCUCGAGAUUUUACUUGAAUGUCGCUUGUGUUUUGGUUGUGAGACUUGUAAUGAUGAAUGGUGGUUAUAAAUAGAACGCGAGGUAAACAAGCUCAGUACGAGACAGAAUGCGAGUUUUGCAUGUUUGGUUAAUAUAUUAUUAAAUAAUUGUUUAAAAAAAUAUUUGUACUGGAGUUUUUUGAAUUAGAACAAAUGAGAAGGUUAGUGGGGUUUAAUGAAAGUUAGAAGAAUGGCCACGAUAAAGUCGGGCAUAAUUAAAUAACUGGCCAUAAUAGAGGACUGAGUUUCAGUUAAAAACGUGUAAACAGUUUGAUUUUGAAAAAAAAAACCGAAAACAAUUAACCCGUUCUAUUUACAAAAAAAAUAAAUAAAUAAAAAUAAAUGCUUCCUGGCGAGUAAGAGAAUGUUGGGCCAGCUUAAGUUAGUAGAUUACUAGAUUGAUUCAGGGGCGUAACAUGGUGACUGCAUGACAACAUUGAUUUAUUUUGAUUGACUGGUAUAAUUAAAUGAUCGAUUAUUUUAAUUUCUUGCGUGGUUUGAUUAAUUGUUUGUCUUUAUUAAAAAUUGAUGAAUUUCUUAUGGGGUUAUUUCACAAAUGUUUGUAUGAAUUAAAAAUC